CAACUACUCCCUCUGUCCCAAAUUUCUUGUCUUAGAUUUGUCUAGAUACGGAUGUAUCUAAUACUAAAAUGUGACUAGAUACAUCCGUAUCUAGACAAAUCUAAGACAAGAAUUUUGGGACGGAGGGAGUACUUU
rnacentral:pre_miRNA from 1 species